rnacentral:misc_RNA from 1 species
GAUGAAGAAGCAGCGAAAUGCGAUAAGUAAUGUGAAUUGCAGAAUUCAGUGAAUCAUCGAAUCUUUGAACGCACAUUGCGCCCGCCAGCAUUCUGGCGGGCAUGCCUGUUCGAGCGUCAUUUCAACCCUCGAGCCCCCCCGGGGGCCUCGGUGUUGGGGGACGGCACACCAGCCGCCCCCGAAAUGCAGUGGCGACCCCGCCGCAGCCUCCCCUGCGUAGUAGCACACACCUCGCACCGGAGCGCGGAGGCGGUCACGCCGUAAAACGCCCAACUUUCUUAGAGUUGACCUCGGAUCAGGUAGGAAUACCCGCUGAACUUAAGCAUAUCAAUAAGCGGAGGA